GAACUCAUCUCAUCUUGCCAAUCGCUUUCUCUCGAUCUGAUUAUUUGGAUUAAUUAGGAUUCACUUUUUGUUGAAAUUCGGCAUAGGACCGGCGAUCGGCUUUCUUUUACUGAUUUUGUUUGUGUUGAUCUAGAUCUGAGUAAAGGUUGAGGUGAAGUGCUGUUGCUUGCUAGGGCGGUUGACCAUCUGUGUUGACUGUUUGAUUUUGAACAAGAAAAUGGAACCACCAUAAGCUUAAAUAGAACUUGUCAGCCAAUACCAAACUUGUGUUUCUAAAAGUUCAAAUGAAGUUGAAAGCAAGAAGUAACAAUUAUUCCCCUUUUAUGUUA